GAUGAACGCUGGCGGCGUGCCUAAUACAUGCAAGUCGAGCGAACGGACGAGAAGCUUGCUUCUCUGAUGUUAGCGGCGGACGGGUGAGUAACACGUGGAUAACCUACCUAUAAGACUGGGAUAACUUCGGGAAACCGGAGCUAAUACCGGAUAAUAUUUUGAACCGCAUGGUUCAAAAGUGAAAGACGGUCUUGCUGUCACUUAUAGAUGGAUCCGCGCUGCAUUAGCUAGUUGGUAAGGUAACGGCUUACCAAGGCAACGAUGCAUAGCCGACCUGAGAGGGUGAUCGGCCACACUGGAACUGAGCCACGGUCAAGACUCCUACGGGAGGCAGCAGUAGGGAAUCUUCCGCAAUGGGCGAAAGCCUGACGGAGCAACGCCGCGUGAGUGAUGAAGGUCUUCGGAUCGUAAAACUCUGUUAUUAGGGAAGAACAUAUGUGUAAGUAACUGUGCACAUCUUGACGGUACCUAAUCAGAAAGCCACGGCUAACUACGUG
rnacentral:rRNA from 1 species